UCAUUUGAAACCUUCACAACUCUUAUUUCACAACUCAAUUUUGUUUUUCACUAUUUUUCUUCCAAGCAAGCAUUCAUUUUCAUUUUCUCUAUUUUUUUUUCUUUUCACAUCGUAUUCACAAAACAUAUGUUUCUCUUUUCUAAUUUUUUUCAAUGCUUGCUCGGUUAUUCAAGAGUUGUGGCACCUACCAAUUCUCAUUUUCGUUCUCCCCAACUUAUCUUUUACUCACCCUAAGUGAAUGCUCUUGACUUUUUACGGCAA
rnacentral:lncRNA from 1 species